rnacentral:rRNA from 1 species
GUGGGGAAUCUUGCGCAAUGGGCGAAAGCCUGACGCAGCCAUGCCGCGUGAAUGAUGAAGGUCUUAGGAUUGUAAAAUUCUUUCACCGGGGACGAUAAUGACGGUACCCGGAGAAGAAGCUCCGGCUAACUUCGUGCCAGCAGCCGCGGUAAUACGAAGGGGGCUAGCGUUGUCCGGAUUUAUUGGGUUUAAAGGGUGCGUAGGCUGGAAGGUCAGUCAGCGGUGAAAAGCUAUCGCUUAACGAUAGUCUUGCCGCAGAUACUUCCUUUCUUGGAUGAGGAGGAGGCCACUGGAACGGAUGGUGUAGCGGUGAAAUGCAUAGAUAUCAUCCAGAACACCGAUUGCGAAGGCAGGUGGCUGUACCUUAAUCGACGCUGAUGCACGAAAGCAUGGGGAGCAAACAGGAUUAGAAACCCUGGUAGUCC